UACAGAGGGUGCAAGCGUUAAUCGGAAUUACUGGGCGUAAAGCGUGCGUAGUCGGUUAUCUAGUCGGGUGUGAAUCCCCGGGACUCGAACCUGGGAAUUGCAUUCGAUACUGGAUAGCGUAGAGUUCGGCAGGAGGGAAGCGGGAAGUUUCGGGUGUAGCGGUGAAAUGACGUAGAUAUCCGAAGGAACAUCAGUGGCGAAGGCGGCUUCCGUGGACCAGAACGUCGACGA
rnacentral:rRNA from 1 species